CUACCGGGGUUUCUAAUCCUGUUUGCUCCCCACGCUUUCGCGCCUCAGCGUCAGGACCGGACCAGAGAGCCGCUUUCGCCACCGGUGUUCCACCCAAUAUCUACGAAUUUCACCUCUACACUGGGUAUUCCACCCUCCUCUUCCGGCCUCCAGCCAAAGAGUAUCGGCCGCACCUCCGGGGUUGAGCCCCGGGCUUUCACAAAGCCGACUGCCUUGGCCGCCUACGCGCCCUUUACGCCCAGUGAUUCCGAACAACGCUAGCACCCUCCGUCUUACCGCGGCUGCUGGCAC
rnacentral:rRNA from 1 species